rnacentral:rRNA from 1 species
AGAGUUUGAUCCUGGCUCAGAACGAACGCUGGCGGCAGGCCUAACACAUGCAAGUCGAGGGGGAAGCCACUUUCGGGUGGUGGAGACCGGCGCACGGGUGAGUAACGCGUGGGAAUUUACCCUGGGGUGGGGAAUAACCGCUGGAAACGGCGGCUAAUACCGCAUACGCCUUUCGAGGGAAAGCUUUAGUGCCCUGGGAUGAGCCCGCGUUAGAUUAGGUAGUUGGUGGGGUAAAGGCCUACCAAGCCAUCGAUCUAUAGCUGGUCUGAGAGGAUGAUCAGCCACACUGGGACUGAGACACGGCCCAGACUCCUACGGGAGGCAGCAGUGGGGAAUAUUGGACAAUGGGGGCAACCCUGAUCCAGCCAUGCCGCGUGCGUGAAGAAGGCCUUAGGGUUGUAAAGCGCUUUCACUGGUGAAGAUGAUGACGGUAGCCAGAGAAGAAGCCCCGGCUAACUCCGUGCCAGCAGCCGCGGUAAUACGGAGGGGGCAAGCGUUGUUCGGAAUUACUGGGCGUAAAGGGCGCGUAGGCGGGAAGUCAAGUUAGGGGUGAAAGGCCUGGGCUCAACCUAGGAACUGCCUCUAAAACUGGCUUUCUAGAGUCCGGGAGAGGAUGGCGGAAUUCCCAGUGUAGAGGUGAAAUUCGUAGAUAUUGGGAAGAACACCAGUGGCGAAGGCGGCCAUCUGGACCGGCACUGA